rnacentral:tRNA from 1 species
UAAGAAAUGGCUGAGAACAAGCACGGGUCUUUUAAACCCUCCACGGAAAUACCUUUCUUGG